rnacentral:lncRNA from 1 species
GACUAAGAUUAAAAGGGAGACUCAAUAUAGAGGAAGCAGCACCACUUUAAUAUGGAAAACUAUUUACCGACAGUCUAACCAAUUUAUCUAGAAGAACAGUAUUCAUAAGGCACGGAUUGAUCAUGUAAUGCUAUCAGAAAAGAUAAAGAUAACAAUGUCAAUAGCCAAUUAAAAAGUAUAGCAACCCAAGACAGUUUUAUCUAUUUCUAAGGUAACACGGUGAUGGUAGUGCAAAGAAACAUAAAGAAAAGAAACAAACUCAAAAUCACCAUAAGCACACAGAGGUAUACACAUAUGCAAAAGUCAAGUGUACAACAAUAGUUAUAGAGCUUACAUUGGCAAGAGAUUCGAGGGAGUGAACAUAGUCUUUAUUGGUCCUAACCCAUCUUUUAUAAGCCUCCAUGGCUUCAAAAUCUUUAUCCAAAAACAAACAAAACGUAUAAGAGAGACUACACCCUCAGCUCUCCAAAUUCAAGAAACCAAAUCAAGCUAAAUCUACAAUCAAUUCUCUCUCUCUCUCUAAUAUUUCCAGACCAAACACCAAAUACAACACGGAGACAAAAAGGAACCCUUCUAGUGAAUGUUUCUGUAGGGUUCGAUUUCCAUAGGUAUUUGGAUUUAAACGGGAGAGAGAAAUUGUUGAAUUUGGAGCAAAAAUAGAGAAAGUUGGGAGAUUUUUGUUGUGUGUUAAAAUAAUGCUUUUUUUUGAAAAUAAAAUUAUUUUUAUCCUAACCGUUCGAUCUGGCGCAUGACGUUGAAGUGUUUAAUUGACCAUUGGAUCUGGACAUCGCCAUCCGUGUCUAGGGUUGAGAUCUCGUGUAACUGUGCCAAAUAUAAGACGGUGUAGCACCGGAUCGUAUUUGGAUAAAAGAAUAGUAGAUAGAUUAUCCCAUUUGUGCACCCCAAUGAUUAUGUAAUUGUCAUAAAUGAGUCAUGGAUCAUCAAUUAUGCAUUCCCACUCUCUUUUCUCUGGUUGUUUUUUUUUUUUUUUUUUUGAUAAACUUGUUUUCUUGAUGCAUUUAACCAGUGAUCUAUAGAUUUUUGUUUUUCCUGUAUUACUGAGGCCCAUGAAUCAUAAAUUGUUCGCUACCCAACAAUAGGACAUUCAUUCAUUUACAUUUAUUUACUUG